rnacentral:pre_miRNA from 1 species
AAUGCAAUUGCUGAAUCAUAUGCUAAGACUAUGUUUAACUUCUCAAGAGACUGCCAAAUUGCCUUCCAAUGUGGCUGCACCAUUUGUAUUCCCACCAGGAAU